rnacentral:rRNA from 1 species
GUAGCACUGCAGUUGAAACNNNNNGGCUUGAGUGCAGUUGAGGCAGGCGGAAUUCGUGGUGUAGCGGUGAAAUGCUUAGAUAUCACGAAGAACUCCGAUUGCGAAGGCAGUGCACCAAGCUGUAACUGACAUUGAUGCUCGAAAGUGUGGGUAUCAAACAGGAUUAGAUACCCUGGUAGUCCACACGGUAAACGAUGAAUACUCGCUGUUGGCGAUAUAUUGUCAGCGGCCAAGCGAAAGCAUUAAGUAUUCCACCUGGGGAGUACGCCGGCAACGGUGAAACUCAAAGGAAUUGACGGGGGCCCGCACAAGCGGAGGAACAUGUGGUUUAAUUCGAUGAUACGCGAGGAACCUUACCCGGGCUUGAACUGCAACCGAAUGUCGCGGAAACGCGUCAGCUAGCAAUAGCGGUUGUGGAGGUGCUGCAUGGUUGUCGUCAGCUCGUGCCGUGAGGUGUCGGCUUAAGUGCCAUAACGAGCGCAACCCUUGCCGGCAGUUGCCAUCAGGUAAAGCUGGGGACUCUGCCGGGACUGCCAUCGUAAGAUGCGAGGAAGGUGGGGAUGACGUCAAAUCAGCACGGCCCUUACGUCCGGGGCUACACACGUGUUACAAUGGGGGGUACAGAAGGCCGCUACCUGGCGACAGGAUGCCAAUCCCGAAAACCCCUCCCAGUUCGGACUGGAGCCUGCAACCCGGCUCCACGAAGCUGGAUUCGCUAGUAAUCGCGCAUCAGCCAUGGCGCGGUGAAUACGUUCCCGGGCCUUGUACACACCGCCCGUCAAGCCAUGGGAGCCGGGNNNACCUGAAGUACGUAACCGCGAGGGUCGUCCUAGGGUAAAACCGGUGACUGGGGCUAAGUCGUAACAAGGUAACCA